rnacentral:rRNA from 1 species
UACUAUACUAAAUUCCAGGAAUAAACUAGAAUAUUAUAAGGUAAAGUCUUUAAAUUCAAAGAAUUUGGCGGUAAUUUAGUCUUUUCAGAGGAAUCUGUUUUUUAAUCGAUAAACCACGAAGAAUCUUACUUGUCUUAUUAAUUUGUAAGUUUGUAUACCGUCAUUAUCAGAUAAUAUUUAGAGGUAAAAUUAUUAGUCUUUAAAUAAUAAGGAAAAUUAGAUCAAGGUGCAGCUUAUAGACAAGUUAAAAUGGAUUACAAUUAAUUGAAUAUAAAAUGGAAAUAGAUUUGAAAUAAUCUAAGGAAGGAGGAUUUGAUUGUAAAGGAAAUUACUAUGAUAAAAAGAUAUAAGCUCUAAAUUAU